GGCGCCGUGGCUCGCUGGUUAAAGCGCCCGUCUUAUAAACAGGAGAUCACGAGUUCGAAUCUCGUCGGUGCCU